GUCCACGCCCUAAACGAUGUCUACUAGUUGUUGGUGGAGUAAAUCCAUGAGUAACGCAGCUAACGCGUGAAGUAGACCGCCUGGGGAGUACGGUCGCAAGAUUAAACUCAAAUGAAUUGACGGGGGCCCGCACAAGCGGUGGAUUAUGUGGAUUAAUUCGAUGCAACGCGAAAAACCUUAACCUGGCCUUGACAUGUAACGAACUUUCCAGAGAUGGAUUGGUGCUCGAAAGAGAACGUUAACACAGGUGCUGCAUGGCUGUCGU
rnacentral:rRNA from 1 species